rnacentral:lncRNA from 10 species
AGUUGCUUCACCCAGGGCAGAUAAUGACAGCAAGAAAGAUCCAAUAACCAUAGAAGAACUGGCUCUAGACACGGGAGAGUCAGGUUCAGAGGUACAUCGGCAAGUUUGUAAUAUAGGUAAACUUGCAUGGUGGAAAUUUGGUGUACAGAUUACUUCAUCAUUCAGAACCCACAGGAUAUGCUGGAGGAGAAGAGCACCAGGCAAAAUGUGGCCAGAUUCCUCUAUGCCAAGCUGAGUUUCUAUCUCCAUCUCACUGGGGUUUUGACAAGAGAAAAGCGAAACAAUCACUUCUGAUCUCUAAUCCUUUCCUCUUACUCCUGAGCCUCAACAAGAGUUUUCUUCCUUAUUCUGCGUGGUUAGAAUCCAUGUCAUAAUUUAGAUAAACUUAAUGGCUUUUUUGUAUAAAUUCUGCAGUUUACAGUCAUGCAAGCUUGUCUGAUACUGCUAAGUGUCCAGUUGCAAGCAUUCCAACAAAAUUUCUCCCUU